CAGCAAGGAGUCAGAACGGCUUGAUUCUUUGAAUCAAUUGACAUUUUGUUGCGAUGUUGUGUUUGCAAAACUCGUAUUUCGAGUUCGGUAGGUUUCUACCAGUUUCGUUUCCAAAAGAAUCGGAACAUAUACUUCCUGUAUUUAUUUUGACCUGUCUGUCAAAUUUUUUAGCACCGCCUAUAAGGCGGUGUUUUUUUAU
rnacentral:other from 1 species